UACGAGGGGGGCGAGCGUUGUCCGGAAUUAUUGGGCGUAAAGAGCUCGUAGGCGGUCUGUCGCGUCUGCUGUGAAAACUCGGGGCUUAACCCCGGGCCUGCAGUGGGUACGGGCAGACUAGAGUGCGGUAGGGGAGACUGGAAUUCCUGGUGUAGCGGUGAAAUGCGCAGAUAUCAGGAGGAACACCGGUGGCGAAGGCGGGUCUCUGGGCCGUAACUGACGCUGAGGAGCGAAAGCGUGGGGAGCGAACAGG
rnacentral:rRNA from 1 species